rnacentral:tRNA from 1 species
AAAGUUUUAAGUUAAUUAAACUAUUAACCUUCAAAGUUAAAAAUAUAAUUUUAUUAUAAGCUUUA